GGCUCCUGACUGGUCCGUGUGAAGAUGCAGUGGAAGUGCAAAUACUGAUUCUUUGAGAGCUUUGGAGUGGACAAGUUCUGCAGGUUCUGCAUGGCAACGAUGAGUGAGAUCCAAGACAAGGAGAUGGCAGCACACCAGAAGAUGACCUUGAGAGUAAUUUUCACAGAGAC